CCCCUCCCAGGAUCACACCUAGAGAGUUUCUAGUACUCUGCCAGUCUCAGUCAAGGGAGGGAGAGUGAAGCAGAAGCAUAACCAUUCCAUUCCUAGCUUAGGCAGUGGCUAGCAAGUGGAAGGCAAUCUGCAACAAGU